GUUAGCUUAUGUAAACAAGCUGAAAGGGUGAGUUUCACUAAACUUCCUCCGAAAAUGAUCAAAUAAGAGGGGGGAAAAACAGAAAAAUCGCCCAACAGUGACUCGUUAUCUACAAAAACAGCUGGUGCAACAUGAAGAAAGACAUUCCUAUAAAAGGAGAAUCACGUCAGCGUCUGUUCGGGUGUUCCUGUAUUCAGACAACUAAGGACCGCCAACUGGAGAGAAGCACAGACGUUUGGGAGGGUGGAGGCUGGUGGAGCUAUCACCCCCCGGGUUAUCUCCAUGUCCUCGACUUCGAGUUGCAGGCCUCUUGGCCCUCGUCAGAGGACUUAGCAAGUCAUCACUGGGGCUGGGGGAGUCUCUGCUUUUCGCUCGCAACGCCGCAGGGGAGGAGGUGCCCUCAACCUGCAACGGAAAGCAAAGCGUGAAGAUUGAAGAUUCGGAUAAAAAUGAGUAGAAAAAUCUAAA